GCAACAUCCUCCAGAACGUCAGUGUGACUGUUGGCCUCGUACGACGUUGUUGUCUUCCAAUUUAGGUCAGUGAUGCAGGUCAUCGUAAACUCUCUUACUGGAAGGAGGGUUAGGACUGACGUUGAUCCGAGGGACACAGUGGACAACUUGAGGGAGAAAGUAAAAGACUAUUUUGACACCCCCUUAGACCAAAUUAGAUUGGUUUUCGUAGGGAAGCAUCUGAAAGAUGGGAGGACAUUGGAAUAUUACGGGAUCACAGACGAAAGUGUUAUUCAAUUUCAGCUGCGUCUGCGAGGAGGAGGACAGCCUUUUAUUACCCUCAGAGUGCUGCUGCCUUCAUCAGGCUUCAUCAAGAUCCACGUCUGUCAACAUGGUGAUGUAACCAGUGUGAAGGAAGCUAAGGAGAUGAUUGCGGAGCAGACAGGAGUGCACAGCACUCUUCAGGAACUGUCGUUUAGAGGAGUAGUGAUGAACGACGAUGAAUACUUCUCUAACUAUGUCAUCCAAGAUGAUGACAUCAUCCAGAUGAGCCAAGUGAACGACAAUGAUCAGAGUUUUUGUGUCAUCCUCUAACAGCUGACACAAAGCUCGCUAUCCCACACUUACUGAUCAAAUUUUCAACUGCUCUCUUAUAGAUUUCCUUGCACAAAAAUUUCACUUGCAACGCUGCAAAUUAAUUUCGAUAAAAAGUCAAUUUUAACUUGCCAUAUACACAAAUUUUUAACAGCAAUAAAUUGCUUUAAAUUAAAAUAAUUUGUAAUAUUUCAUAUAUGUAAGUGAAUCUAUGUAAACAAACAAUGAUAUAGAAAUUAAAGAGAAGAAUUUUAA